rnacentral:misc_RNA from 1 species
GAAAUGCGAUAAGUAAUGUGAAUUGCAGAAUUCCGUGAAUCAUCGAAUCUUUGAACGCACAUUGCGCCCUCUGGUAUUCCGGGGGGCAUGCCUGUCCGAGCGUCAUUGUGAACCCCUCAAGCACGGCUUGUGUGAUGGGCCCUCCCGCGUCUUGGUCGUCAAGACGGGCCCGAAAAGCAGUGGCGGCUUCGCGGUUAUCCGAUCAGCCAGAGCGUAUGGGGACUUUCUCUCUGUCACACGCCCGCGGCGCGGACCGACGCCUGUCGACCUUUAUUCAUCUUUUUCUCGGUUGACCUCGGAUCAGGUAGGGAUACCCGCUGAACUUAAGC